rnacentral:lncRNA from 1 species
AAUAAUAAGAAUGGCCCAACGGUAAUAAAAUAAAUUAGGCCCAACUUAAAUUAAAAUCAAAGGCCCAUACAGUAAUUAAAAUCGGCCUAAUUUAAAUUAAAAUCAGAGGCCCAAAUCUUAAAAUAACUCAAGUCCAAAAAUUAAAAGAAAAAGCCCAAAUCAAAAUUCGGCCCAAAAGAAAUUUGAGGCCCAAUUCUCCUCUUAACACACGAUCCAUACUCUCUCUCUCUUUUCAUCACCAACUCACGCAUACACACAAAAACGCACAUCUAUCUCUCUCUCUCGUUCAAGAUUCUCGGUCCUUCCCUUUUCUCUCUCGCAAAUGAGCCGCUCGCCCCUUCCUCUCCAG